rnacentral:lncRNA from 1 species
UCAAACUUUCCACUCAAUGGAGCCACGUCUUCAUGUUCUUCCUCGUCUUCUUCUGCUAGUAUCACGCAGCCAAACCAAGGGGCUCAAGCACCGGUUACUACAUUCUGCUGGAGUGAUUACCUUCUCUCGGAUCCGGUUUUACCUCUUAGCUCUCAGACACAAGUAGUGGGAUCCUCAGCUACUAGCAACCUCACUUUCGCGCAGAACGAAAACUUCAACGGCCAAGGAGAAUGCAGCUCUCAGAAGAUUGCUUCCAAGGCCUCUGGAACAUGUCACUCCGCGAGCUCAUUUGUGGAUGAAAUAUUGGAUAAGGACCAAGAAAUGCUGUCACAGUUUCCCCAACUCUUGAAUGAUUUCGACUAUUAGAUCCUUCCUUAUGCUAUUGUUGUUGUUGUUACUGCUUCUCUUGUAGCUUAAAUUCGAUGUUUUAUGAUGUUUCAAGAACUACUUUCAUCUAGUUUUUCAAUAAGUUAUAUUAUCUCUUCUCUUUAUCCAAGUUUCUUGGGAUUCACUUAUGUAACAGUCUCUAAACAUACAGAGCUCAAAUAAGUUUACCUCUUUUAUAGAGAAAUAGACCCUCUGGCUAAGGAAGAGGGUCUUAGUUUAUUCCUAUCCUUCGUGCUAAGCUCUUUUAACAGUCUCGCGAGCUUCAAAGUCGAAACCUUUAGAGCUAUGGCGGUCGUGUUAUCUUCUAGCAUAGUCUCUCCACUUGGAAUCAACAUCGAUAUGAGUAAGAAUCUGGGUGUAAAGUACUCUUCUUUCCCCAAAGUUCACCUCUUUGGUAAAUUAUAAAGACGAGUCAUAAUUCGAGCAUCAGAUAGAUUUAAUUAAAAUAUUGAAAUUAUCCGAAGGUAGCAACAACGAUCCAUCCAUAGAAUCCCACAUUAAAAACAAAAAAUAAAAAGCUGUUUAGAUCUUAAAAGAUCAGAUCCUCAAUCAAAGAGACUCAUCAUGCCUUCACCAUCAUCCGACUCCUCUUUCUCUUCCUCAACCUUCUUAGAUUCCGCCGCUGGCUCAGCCGCGGAAGGAGCGUCGCCUCCUGCUCCAGCCACCAUAGCAACAGCUGCACCACCGGAAGAUAGAGCCCCCAUCUUCUCCCUCCCAGCCGCGAUCAGCUCCGUCACGUCGUGAUCCUUCACCAGAGAAAAGAACAGAUCCGUCUUCGUCUCGUCGAACUCAGCUCCAACGGAAUCGAAGAUGUUUUUCAGAUCACCUUUGGUUGGGUUCUCGUUUCCGGCGAGUUUCGCGAGGAGAAAAGCAGCGAUAACCUUCAUCGUUCCUCUUCUUCUUCUUCUUCUCUGCACGAACGGUGAAAAACAAAGCGUGUUACUGCUAGGGCAAAGCUGUGUAUUUAUAAGAAGUGUCUUCCCCAUAAUGAGGAGGGUUAGGGUUUUUCGGACGUACGUUACACGAAAGAAAGCCGUUAAUGGGCCCAUGCUGUUAAUGAACUUUAAUGUAAGCCCACUAAUAUUGGAACCAACUUACAAAACUUUUCUUUUCCGGUAAAGUAAUUUCACUGAAAUUAAAACGAGUUUACAACAUCAUUACAUAAACUCCGAAAAUCAAUUAUUACAUAAGCAACAUAUAUUACAAAACGAUAAAAACCAAAAAAAAAAAGAAUUUAACAAUGAUUUCUUUAAAAUUUUUAUUCGCUAAUGAAUUAUUUAGUCAUUUUUGAUGAUCGAAAUAUUGUAAAAGUGAAUUUUUCUUUUUAGAAACUUCAAUUUCACAGAACCCAUUUACAUUUCGUCAACAGUUUGAUGCCAAUUAGUCUUUACCAAUGUCAUCCAAAAUAAUAACUACUUCCAUCGUUUGUAUUCGAUCAUUUUACAAAGAUAGAUUUUCUAUUAUUUUCACAUUUAUUAAAAAAACUCAUUAAAUCACUAUAAUGAAUGUUGUUGUUUGUAAUUUUCAAAUUUUAAUAACUUUUAACCAAUAAUAAUUUAAUAAACUUAAUUAAUUUUAUUGAAGUUUACAAAUUUUUUUUAUAGAAAAUAGAACAUUUAUCUUUGUGAAACAAUUUUUUUUCUAAAACAUGUAUCUUAGUGAAACGGAUGGAAUAUCAUUUUUUCGUAUUACACAAAAAUUGUCACUUCAAAAUUUCAAUCAAAAUUAUAUUACUUACAACUAAAAAUUAAUUGUAAAUUGCAUUAAUUUUAUAAAUAAUUUUAUUUAUCUCAAAUAUUAUUGUUCAAAAUAUGUGUAAUUAAUAACAACUUAAACACAUUCUAAUAAUUUUCUUAAUCUAUGUAAAAAAUAUCAAACUUACACUUAGUAAUUAAUAAUCUCCAGAUCUCAAAUAAACAUUAACCCAUCAUAAAUUUGAUAUUUGACAACUUACAAAACUUUAUUUUAUUUAUGGUCAACAAUUUCUUAAAAUUAAGUGCUGUCUCGUAAGAAAGAGUUAACGAAAAUCUAGUCAAAGGGGAAUUAAAAAGGAAGGCAGGAAAUUACAGUUGGCGCUCCCUCACUCGCUUACCGUCAUUAAAUACUUUUAAAAAGGGGAUGAAAUUGUAAGAUCUCAAAACUACAGGGACAAAUUAAGAAGAAGAAUAUAGUUGAGGGGGUAAGAAUUGAGAAGAAUACAAAUUUGUUACUAAACGUCUGGUCUUCGCCUCCAAAAAGAAAAGUCUUCUCUUUUCUCAGCAGGGAAGGGAAAAAAUGGAUUCUCGAAAUUUUCUCGCGUUUUCGCUAAGUCUUAUCCUGAUUUUCCCUCCAAUUUCGUCUGCUUCCAUCAGAUUCAUCCCUCGAUGGAGUAGUAGUAGUAAUAGGUAAGGUUGUCUCUCUCUCUCUCUAACGAUGAAUGAUGUUCUUUCGCAUUGGUUUGACUGAUAAAUAUUUGUUUUUUUUUUCUUUCUUUUAAUUGGUUGGGUGGGCAGAGAAGGGGCAGUGAUUAAGCAGAAGACGAGUGCUUCGUCUCUAGUUAUUGAUCCAACUCGUGUCACUCAGCUCUCUUGGACUCCUAGGUUUCGUUUGUUGCUUUUGCUUUAAAAAGUCUGAAUUUUUAUUGUUUUGAUUACAAAAGUAUGUGAUGGUUUCUGCAGGGUGUUUUUGUACAAGGGACUUUUAACAGAUGAGGAAUGUGAUCAUUUCAUCAACUUGGUACUAUCAAUCAAAUCAUCUUCUUGAUUAUUUUUGUUUGUUUGUUUGAGGACUUAGUGAUGAUCAUGGAACGUUAUGAGACUUUGUGUUUUAGGCGAAAGGGAAGCUUGAGAAGUCAAUGGUUGCGGAUAAUGAUUCAGGUAAGAGCGUGGAGAGUGAAGUGCGCACAAGCUCUGGAAUGUUUCUUUCCAAAAGACAGGUGAGAGCUUCAGUUUCUAUUACUCAUAACAUGUGUGAAUCAGUAAGGAAAACAUGUUGGCUCUUGUAAAGGUUUUGAAUGAUCUGUUGUGGUUUUAAAUCUGGUUCCGUUUGUAUGUUUUGUUUUGUGCAAUCAGUUGAAUUUUAUUAUCAUGUGUUUUCUGAGGUCUAAUCUUGCUUUUGUUUCUAUUUGACUAGCUUAACUUCACCAAAUAAACAGAUUAGUUCUCUGUUAUUAAUACCACCAAGUAACACUAUCUAGGAUGGUCUUCUUCUGUGGUUAGAAAAAGUAGCUUGAAUGCUAAUCUGGUUAUUCUAAAGGUUUUCUGUGAUUCACUGAUUGUUUGACCCUUGAGCUUGAAAGCAUGAAUGGUAAAGAUUCUGUGUCGGUGCAGGAUGAUAUAGUAGCUAAUGUCGAGGCUAAACUUGCUGCAUGGACUUUUCUUCCCGAGGGUAUUGUUUGAGGCAUAUGUAUACUUUUCUUACUUUAUCUUUAGUAGCAGAAAAAACACUCAUCUCUUCUUUUUUUUUUUACCUGUGUUGUCUAUCAGAAAAUGGAGAAUCAAUGCAAAUACUGCACUACGAGAACGGUCAAAAAUAUGAACCGCAUUUUGACUUCUUUCACGACCAAGUAAACCAACAGCUUGGUGGUCAUCGGAUCGCCACCGUAUUGAUGUACUUGUCCAACGUCAAAAAAGGUGGAGAAACAGUGUUUCCCAUGUGGAAGGUAAUAACGACAUAUGUAUCACAUGAUUUAGAUUUCAUUUCUUGAGUGGCCUCAUUUGAACACUGUUCAUUCAUUCUUAAAGGGAGCAACAGCUCAACCCAAAGACGAUAGCUGGACCCAAUGUGCCAAACAAGGUUAUGCAGGUAGAGAAACACAUACAUGUGUACUUUAUGUAUUCUUCAACAUGCGUUUGCUUUAAGUAUGAUUCUAUCUUUCCAAAUGGUAUAUUGCACAAUCUGAGAGUGUGUGUCUUUGCAGUGAAACCGAUGAAAGGGGACGCAUUGCUAUUCUUUAACCUUCAUCCGAAUGCAACAACAGAUCCGAGCAGCUUACAUGGAAGCUGUCCAGUGGUUGAGGGAGAGAAAUGGUCAGCUACCAGAUGGAUUCAUGUGAAGUCGUUCGAAAGACCGGUGUCCAGGACAACUGGGUGUGUGGACGAGAACGAGAGCUGCGAGAAAUGGGCAAAGGCAGGGGAAUGUAAGAAGAAUCCAGUCUACAUGGUGGGUUCAGAAACAGACCAGGGAUAUUGCAGAAAGAGCUGCAAAGCUUGCUCAUCUUAAGAACCAAGUAACAAUCAAAGCUCUUAUUAAAAAAGGAUUGAAAAUUUUUGUGUGUAGAGAAAAAACCUUUGGUCUAUAUAAGCAAAAAUGUUUGAACACAUACUAAAAAGAAUAAUAAUAAGCUUCUCUGGUUUCAUGUUUAGUUUAUUUGUAGCAUCAACCUCAAGCAAGGAAUACAUGAUAACUGAUUAUGUAUUAAUAAUAUACGUGAUGUAGUGUACAUGAGAUGAUAGUUGUCUAAACUACGUCAUGCACAUAGAGACUCUUAUAUUUCUAAUGAAGUGUAACAAUCAUGCAAUUACCGUUAACUAGGAGCCUUCAAGCAUGAGAUCCUCACCUUUUAUUUCUCUCUCUCUAGACAAGUCUCAGAGCUUUUGCAUUGCAUCAUUCUAUUUCCAUAAAGCCUUUCUUGUGGUACUUCCACACAGCAUCUUCUCCUUCUCUCCUGUCUCUGAAUAACCCACAAAAAAUGGGAAGGCCUCCAUGUUGUGACAAAUCAAAUGUCAAGAAAGGUCUAUGGACUGCAGAAGAAGACGCUAAGAUCCUCGCUUAUGUUGCAAUCCAUGGUGUAGGAAACUGGAGUUUGAUCCCCAAGAAAGCAGGUCUUGUUCAUAAGCUUCUUCUUUCAUUUUAAGAACUCUUCAAUGUACAAGUCUGAGUUUAUUUAUUUUUAUUUUGGGUGCAGGUCUGAAUCGAUGUGGAAAGAGCUGUAGAUUGAGAUGGACUAAUUACUUAAGACCUGACCUUAAACAUGACAGCUUCUCUCCCCAAGAAGAAGAGCUUAUCAUUCAGUGUCACAGAAUCAUUGGCAGCAGGUUACCUAAUUGCUAACUAACUUUUUAACAAUGACAAAAAAUCUAUCAAACUCUACUAAUAAUAAUAAUCUCUGAUGCUCUCAGGUGGUCUUCGAUUGCGCGAAAGCUUCCAGGAAGAACAGACAACGAUGUGAAAAACCACUGGAACACGAAGCUGAAGAAGAGGCUGGUGAAAAUGGGGAUAGAUCCUGUGACUCACAAACCUGUUUCUCAGGUCCUUACGGAAUUCAGAAACAUUAGUGGCCAUGGAAACUCAUCCGAACCUUUUGUCAGAAACUUCAAAACAGAACCAUCUAACAACUCUAUACUCACACAAUCCAACUCAGCUUGGGAAAUGAUGAGGAACACAACAAGCCAUGAGAGCUAUCACAAUUCUCCUAUGAUCUUUACUCAUCCCACUGCAUCUGAAUUCCAUUUCUCUAACCAUUCAAACUUUCCACUCAAUGGAGCCACGUCUUCAUGUUCUUCCUCGUCUUCUUCUGCUAGUAUCACGCAGCCAAACCAAGGGGCUCAAGCACCGGUUACUACAUUCUGCUGGAGUGAUUACCUUCUCUCGGAUCCGGUUUUACCUCUUAGCUCUCAGACACAAGUAGUGGGAUCCUCAGCUACUAGCAACCUCACUUUCGCGCAGAACGAAAACUUCAACGGCCAAGGAGAAUGCAGCUCUCAGAAGAUUGCUUCCAAGGCCUCUGGAACAUGUCACUCCGCGAGCUCAUUUGUGGAUGAAAUAUUGG